ACCUGGAUAGCUUAUAGAUAGAGCGUGACACUGAAGAUGUUAAGGAAAUAUUUUUAUUUUUAGGUA
rnacentral:tRNA from 2 species